rnacentral:rRNA from 1 species
GACGAACGCUGGCGGCGUGCUUAACACAUGCAAGUCGAACGGAAAGGCCUGCUUUCCCUUGUGGAUUGCGGGUACUCGAGUGGCGAACGGGUGAGUAACACGUGAGUGAUCUGCCCCCAACUUGGGUAUAAGCCUGGGAAACUGGGUCUAAUUCCCGAUAGGACUGCAGGGUGGUGCCUGUGGUGGAAAACGAUUUUCUAAUGGUUGGGGAUGAGCUCGCGGCCUAUCAGCUUGUUGGUGGGGUAAUGGCCUACCAAGGCGGCGACGGGUAGCCGGCCUGGGAGGGUGGACGGCCACAUUGGGACUGAGAUACGGCCCAGACUCCUACGGGAGGCAGCAGUGGGGAAUAUUGCACAAUGGGCGGAAGCCUGAUGCAGCGACGCCGCGUGGGGGAUGACGGCCUUCGGGUUGUAAACUCCUUUCGACCGCGAGGAAGCCACCUGGUUGGAAGGGUGGUGACGGUAGUGGUAGAAGAAGCACCGGCUAACUACGUG